GGAGAGAUGGCUCAGCGGUUAAGAGCGCUGGCUGCUCUUCCAGAGGUCCUGAGUUCAAUUCCCGGCUCCU
rnacentral:tRNA from 1 species